rnacentral:rRNA from 1 species
UACGUAGGGGGCAAGCGUUGUCCGGAAUCAUUGGGCGUAAAGAGCGCGUAGGCGGCCCUGUAAGUCCGCUGUGAAAGUCAAGGGCUCAACCCUUGAAUGCCGGUGGAUACUGCAGGGCUAGAGUCCGGAAGAGGCGAGUGGAAUUCCUGGUGUAGCGGUGAAAUGCGCAGAUAUCAGGAGGAACACCUAUAGCGAAGGCAGCUUGCUGGGACGUUACUGACGCUAAGGCGCGAAAGCGUGGGGAGCGAACAGG